rnacentral:rRNA from 1 species
UACUAGAGUAGCACUCGCAUAUCAAUAAGCGGAGGAAAAGAAACUAACAAGGAUUCCCCUAGUAACGGCGAGUGAAGCGGGAAGAGCUCAAAUUUGAAAUCUUAAAGGGUUUCCCUUUACGAAUUGUAGUUUAAAGAAGUGUUUUCUGUUGAGGUUUUGGUAAAAGUUCUUUGGAAUAGGACAUCAUAGAGGGUGAGAAUCCCGUAUUUGACCUUUACUUUCAACUUUGUGAUACACUUUCAAAGAGUCGGAUUGUUUGGGAAUGCAGUCCAAAAUGGGUGGUAAAUUUCAUCUAAAGCUAAAUAUUGGCGAGAGAACCGAUAGCGAACAAGUACCGUGAGGGAAAGAUGAAAAGAACUUUGAAAAGAGAGUUAAACAGUACGUGAAAUUGUCAAAAGGGAAGCGUUUGACACCAGUGUUGUUUUUCUGAAAAUCAAUUAAAGAACUGUUUAUGCUAAGUUGUUUAGACUUUAUCAGCUAUCUGUUUAGUUUUGAGCUUUUCUUUAAUGCACUUUUCAGUUAACAAGUCAACAUCAAUUUCUUUUGCUGUAAAAAAGCUUGAGGAAGGUGGCUUGAGAUUCGUCUUAAGUGUUUAUAGCCUCUUGCCUAUGCAGUCGGAGAGAUUGAGGUCUGCAGCGUAGAUCCUUCGGGGCUAAAUGCAUUUGUGCCUAAGUUAUAGCAUUUUAUAGACAACUUGUUGACUAUGAUUUGUCUUGUAGCUUACUCGCUUAUGUUAUUUUACCUACGCUUAGGAUGUUGAGCGCAUGUCUCUCUCU